rnacentral:rRNA from 1 species
GAUGAACGCUAGCGGCAGGCUUAACACAUGCAAGUCGAGGGGUAACAGGAGGUAGCUUGCUACUUGCUGACGACCGGCGCACGGGUGCGUAACGCGUAUAGAAUCUACCUUGUACUAGGGGAUAGCCUUUGGAAACGAAGAUUAAUACCCUAUAGUAAGUAUUUAUGGCAUCAUUUAUACUUUAAAGGUUACGGUACAAGAUGACUAUGCGUCCUAUUAGUUUGUUGGUGAGGUAACGGCUCACCAAGACUUCGAUAGGUAGGGGCCCUGAGAGGGGGAUCCCCCACACUGGUACUGAGACACGGACCAGACUCCUACGGGAGGCAGCAGUGAGGAAUAUUGGACAAUGGAGGCAACUCUGAUCCAGCCAUGCCGCGUGCAGGAUGACGGCCCUAUGGGUUGUAAACUGCUUUUAUGUAGGAAGAAACACUCUCACGUGUGAGAGCUUGACGGUACUACAAGAAUAAGGACCGGCUAACUCCGUGCCAGCAGCCGCGGUAAUACGGAGGGUCCAAGCGUUAUCCGGAAUCAUUGGGUUUAAAGGGUCCGUAGGCGGGCUAUUAAGUCAGAGGUGAAAGUUUGCAGCUCAACUGUAAAAUUGCCUUUGAAACUGGUAGUCUUGAAUUAUUAUGAAGUGGUUAGAAUAAGUAGUGUAGCGGUGAAAUGCAUAGAUAUUACUUAGAAUACCAAUUGCGAAGGCAGAUCACUAAUAAUAUAUGACGCUGAG